AAGUGCGGGCUGCGAGGUUGGGGACGCCGGCGCCAGCGGUUGGGCACCGUCGCGGCGUGAGAAAGAGAGAGAGAGAGGCGGCUAGGGUUUGGGGCUCCCGUCUCCUGAGGGAGACGACAACAGAAUAUACUGUUUAUUGUGUGCUUAAUAUCGAAGGGGUACAUGUGUUUAUAUAGGAGGACAACCUCCACUAAACCCUAGAUAACUUGGACUCUAACUUGGACUCUAAUAUAACUUGGACUCUAAGAUAGGUAAGAUAACUUGGACUAAGCCCGUAAUUAACCCUGCCCAUUGGGCCUCCUCUGUUGGUACGUUGUACCAGUCAGAACAUCUCUCCCCGCCUUCUCAAACAGCUCGUCCUCGAGCUUAACAUCUAGAAACUGCUGGCGGAAAUCGUCGAGCUUCUCCCAAGUCGCUUCCUCCUCUGGCAGGCCGGUCCACUGCACCAAGACAUGCCAGAUGCCGCGACGCUGCUGCGCCUGCAGCACCUUCGCCACCUGUGCGGAAGCUGGAAGGAGGCGGCCAUCUGAAGUAGGAGGAAGGGUUGGCGUCGCUGCUGGAGGGUCCCUGCGGUAGGCCUUUAGUAAGCCGACAUGGCAGACAUCGUGGAGGCGAGAACCAGCUGGCAGCUCCAAGCGGUAUGCGAGUGUGCCGACACGCUCCAGCACACGAAAGGGACCGCCGUAGCAAGGUCCCAAUUUGCGCUUGGAGCGCGGGUCCAAAGACUACGUGAUCCUGUGGAGGAGGCGCAGCCACACCCAAUCGCCACCGCGAACUGCGCCUCGCGAUGAUGAGCAUCGUAGUACUUCCGAGCCAGCUGCUGUGCUUGGAGAAGACGCUGGCGCGCCUCAGCCAGAAUGUCAUCGCGGGUGCGGAGUAAGUCGCCCGCCGUCUCGGACCGAGCCGUCCCAGGCUCGUAAGGGAGCAUCGUCGGAGGUGGGCGCCCGUAGACCACCUCGAAAGGCGUGGUGCGCAGGGCAGAGUGAUAGGAGGUGUUGUAGUAGUACUCCGCCCACGCCAACCAGUCCACCCAAGCUCGUGGACGAUCACUAGUAACAUAGCGCAGGUACAUGGCGAUCACCUUGUUGACCACCUCGGAUUGGCCGUCUGUCUGAGGGUGGAACGCCGUCCUCAUGCGGAGCUUCACGCCCGCCAGUCGAAAGAUAUCCCGCCAGACAUGUCCCGUGAACACGGGAUCACGAUCGCUGACGAUGGACGACGGAAAACCGUGGAGGCGGACGAUGCUGUCGAAGAAGGCCCGCGCCACGGAGGCGGCUGUAUAUGGAUGACCCAGGGCGAUGAAAUGUGCGUACUUGGAGAAGCGGUCAACCACCGUGAGGAUGACGGACUUGCCGCCCACCUUGGGAAGGCCCUCGAUGAAGUCCAUGGAAAUAUCCGCCCACACCUGGGAGGGUACGUCCAGCGGAUACAGUAGACCCGCAGGUCGUAGUGUCUCCGUCUUGUUCCGCUGGCACGUCACGCACGACCGCACCCAAUCGUGAACCAUCGCGCCAUCACCGGGGAUGUAAAAAUCAGCACGGAGACGAUGGAGAGUCUUCUGCACGCCCUCAUGCCCUGCAGAGUGCGCCAAGGUCAGGACCUGGUGGCGCAGGUUGCCAUGGUCGGGCAUGAAGAUGCAACGGCCAUGUAGGAUCAGCCCCUCGUCCAAGCGCCAGGGCGCGUCCAGCUCGCCGGCGUCAAGGCGCUGGCGCAGGCCCUGCGCGUCCACGGCCGUCGUAGUUGCCCGGCGAAUGUCGUCAAUGAAGGCGAAAGAUGGCCCGAAGCGGAUGCACAUGAUAGUGCCAGCCAUGGCGAAAGUUGCUAUCAUGAGUGUGCCUGGUAGAGGCUAGGGUUCUACCAGGUCUCGGACGUAGGUUGUAGGGGUGGAAGUGCGGGCUGCGAGGUUGGGGACGCCGGCACCGGUGGUUGGGCGCCGUCGCGGCGUGAGAAAGAGAGAGAGAGGCGGCUAGGGUUUGGGGCUCCCGUCUCCUGAGGGAGAUGACAACAGAAUAUACUGUUUAUUGUCUGCUUAAUAUCGAAGGGGUACAUGUGUUUAUAUAGGAGGACAGCCUCCACUAAACCCUAGAUAACUUGGACUCUAAUAUAACUUGGACUCUAAGAUAGGUAAGAUAACUUGGGCUAAGCCCGUAAUUAACCCUGCCCAUUGGGCCUCCUCCGUUGGUACGUUGUACCGGUCAUAAC
rnacentral:lncRNA from 1 species